rnacentral:sRNA from 1 species
GCCAGGCGUAGUGGCGCACACCUGUAAUCCCAAUGGCUCAGGAGACUGAGGCAGGAGGAUCGUGAGUUCAAAGCCAGCCUCAGCAACUAAGCAACACACUAAGCAACUCAAUGAGAUCCUGUCUCUA